UAACCUCUCUCCUCCCCUCCAUCAACCCAAAACUUCCCUCCAUCCUCCCCUCCUUCACCACCUCACCCCAAAACUUCCCUCCUCACCUCCCUCACCCCACCGCUUCUAACAGGUUUUUCUGUGCCUGGAAACAUUACCAUAAUGAGCUAUGAGCCAUUCCAAAGCACUUAGCUUCUCUGAAGGUUUUUCAUUGUAUUAAUUAAGUCUAUUGCUCUGCGCUCGCUCCCUCAUCCCCAUGUUCCUGGAGGUAUGAACCCACUGAACCUACCUGGGAUGAGGAUUUGUUUCACUCCAAUCUCUUUAGUUUUUUCUUCAUAAUUCGGCUCCAGAAAUCACAGAGUGAUGCCAGCUUGCUUAUAACUGAAAGCCUGUGAAAAACAGUGGAAUUUUGUAAGAGAUUUUUUUAAAUCAUGUGAGAAUUACUGCCAGUGUUGUAGGUGUAUGUGUUGUACAUGGUGUAAUGUUGCUGUUCCUUUCUCACGUAUGGCCUUUUCUCAUGUGUGUGUGUGUGUGUGUGUGUGUGUGUGUGUGUUUGUGUGUGUGUGUGUGUGUGUGUGUGUGUGUGUGUGUGUGUGUGUGUGUGUGUGUGUGUGUGUGUGUGUGUGUGUGUGUGUGUGUGUGUGUGUGUGUGUGUGUGUGUGUGUGCGCAUGAGUGUGUGUGUGCGCACUGCCAUCAGAGAGCUGCUCCCUUACUUCAUGGCGUAGACAGCGAGGCUGUCUGGAGCAGACCCUGGUGAUAAAGACUACGACAAGUUUUAAGUUGCUGGAGCAGGCCGAGACUCCACAGGACUUGCAGUGCAAGUGCAGAAAAUGGUUCAGAGGGUUGGAUUCUUUGGAAUUCUAGUCUGCGCCUCUAUUACCAAUCCAAUGUUUGACCUGGCAGAUAUAACAUGGUUCCCUUUUGGACCUUUUUUUGGAGCAACGCUAAUUGGGAAAUCCACAGCCAAAAUGCACAUUCAGAAACUGUUUGUGAUCAUAACCUUCAGCAGGCACAUAGUGGAGCAGAUGGUGUCUCUGAUUGGAGCUUGAAGACCAGUCAUCAAAGAACAGUCCAGUCCAACUCUGAUCCUCCUGAGUCCUGAGUCACAGGCCUGCUUUUACGGCUCUGCCUGUCCGUUUAUAAGAACACGAAGCAAGGCAGGGCACAGCUCCAACUAAGGCCACUCAUUCAACAUUAACACAAACAAAGCAAUUGUAAAAAUGCCCAUUCAGAACAAUGGCAGCCAAGCUAAUGAGUCAAAGGAUGUGUUUUAGUAGGGGGUUGUGUGUAAAUAGGGGUUAUUUAUAAAAACGUACCGUAAAACUGUUUUACAUUUACUACCUGUUGUUUCCAACGGGUAAUUUCCCCAUACAAAGCGCCUAGACUAAAUAACAACUAUUGGCUCUCUUAUACAUAUUUAACACCUUGAGGCAGACAUCGGUGUUCAAUUUGAUUAGAUUAGAUUUUUCUUAUUUUUUUGACAAAUGAAUGGAAGAAUCUGUUACUUGAUUGUACUUGCAUGUUAUUUAGUAAUUAUUGAUCAUUCUUUGCAUGUUUAGUCAUUUUUCCCAAUAGUCAUCAACUAAUGGUUUUAAAUGUUUUAUGUUUUGUUUAUUUAUAUUGAGAAUCUAAAUGUAGUCACUGUUUUUCAAUGUUUUCUGGUUUUGUUUGAUUGACCAUAAAUAAAUUUUCGCCUGAGGUAAUAACAGUGGUUGUAAAGCACUUGUACUAGCAAUAAAAAAAAUGCUAUUUUGUAGUGAAAAUAGCUAAAACGGUAUUGUUGUGGCAUUAGGAGGGGGAGGAAGUAGGUCUUGAACAGCACUUUCACUGGCUGUCUGUACGUUAGACAGACACACAUCCUGCCCAACGUGUAUGCACAACCUAGCCCUAGCCUCAAACCUGAAACUAACUAUUACUGUGCACAAAAUGUUGUCACUUGUUAUUGUGUUAUUUUUAGUGAUGUAAUGUAAGCACUACAGGGGAGGGAGAGGGGGGGGCACACACCCCAAUCCACAUCGAUGGGGCUGCAGUUGAAAAGGUUGGGUCCCUCAAA